rnacentral:rRNA from 1 species
CCCUUAGAUGUUCUGGGCCGCACGCGCGCUACACUGAUGCAUUCAACGAGUCUAAAACCUGGUCUGAUAGGGCUGGGUAAUCUUUUGAAUGUGCAUCGUGAUUGGGAUAGAUGAUUGCAAUUCUUCAUCUUCAACGAGGAAUGCCUAGUAAACGCAAGUCAUCAGCUUGCAUUGAUUACGUCCCUGCCCUUUGUACACACCGCCCGUCGCUCCUACCGAUUGAAUGUUCCGAUGAAUACCAUGGACUGAGAGUAUGAAUGGGUUCGCCUGUCUUUGCUUCUCGGGAAGUGAAGUAAAUCUUAUCAUUUAGAGGAAGGAGAAGUCGUAACA